rnacentral:rRNA from 1 species
UGGAGAUAAUACCUGAUAGAGGAUAAAUACUGGAAGGUUUUAUUCUUCAAAGCUUCGGCACCUGAGGAUGGGACUGCGUCGGAUUAGCUUGUUGUCGGGAUAAUUACCCGACAAGGCGAUAAUCCGUACGGGUUGUGAGAGCAAUAGCCCGGAGAUGGAUUCUGAGACAUGAAUCCAGGUCCUACGGGACGCAGCAGGCGCGAAACCUUCACAAUGCCUGAAAGGGUGAUGAGGGAACUCUGAGUGACUUCGCAAUGCGAAGUCUUUUGCCAAGUGCAAAAAGCUCGGUGAAUAAGUGGUGGGCAAGACAGUUGCCAGCCGCCGCGGUAAUAACUGCGCCACGAGUGGUGAUCUCGUUUAUUGGGCUUAAAGCGUUCGUAGCCGGUUUUAUAAGCAUCUGGUGAAAUCCGAUAGUAAACUAUUGGGCUGGCUAGGUGUACUGUAAGACUAGGGACCGGUAGGGGCCGGGAGUACUCCUAGGGUAGGGGUUAAAUCCUUUAAUCCUAGGGGGACUACCAGUGGCGAAGGCGCCCGGCUAGAACGGGUCCGACGGUGAGGGACGAAAGCUGGGGGAGCGAUCCGGAUUAGAUACCCGGGUAGUCCCAGCUGUAAACGAUGCCCGCUUGGUGUGGUGAAACUUUCGUGGUUUUGCCGUACCGU